GCCCAAGGAAGCCAAUCUUGAAGUCCUGAAAGGGAAUCAAUCAAUUUGGGUGAAAUCAGGAAGAGAGAUCGAAAAUGGGGAAACCAUUGGGAGCUACCGGAGAGUUUUUCAGGCGAAGGGACGAGUGGAGGAAACAUCCUAUGUUGACCAAUCAGUUCCGCCACGCUUUCCCUGGCCUUGGCAUCGCUGUUGUAGCAUUCACCAUCUACUGUGUAGGCGAAUAUGCUUACAACAACAUGUCUCAACCUUCUCACUCCACCACCUCUGCUUCUCAUUCUCACUGAACAUGGUGAAGUGAUAGUUGCAAGAAUGGGGAUGACAAUACAGUUCAGUUGUGUUUUUUGUGUUUUUUCUGAGUCAUCAAUAAGAUAUUUAACAAACAUGGACUUGUUGCCUCAAACUUUUGGAGACUUGUGUUGUAACAAGAUUAAUCAGCAUUUUGCUUUACAUGUGUUACCCUCGCUUUUGUGGUUUUCUUUCUA